rnacentral:rRNA from 1 species
GACAGACGGGGCAAGCGUUAUCCAUCAUCACUAGGUGUAAAAGGUGCGUAGCCAUGUUUAUAAAAGUAACUAAAUAAUAUAAAAUUUAUACGUAAUUAUAAAUCUUAUUUAGUCUUUAGAAAACUCGAGAAAAAAAAAGAUAAGGGGAAUCCCUAGUGUAGGGUUGAAAUCCAUAGAUAUUAGUGAGACAGCUAAUGACGCAAGCACCUUGUUAUUUUUUUCUGACGUUGAGGCACGUAGGUCUGGGUAGCAAAUGGG